ACAGCCUUGGGACAUGGACCCCGGCAACCCCACCAAAGUCCCCUUGGCUGCGGGGAGUCGCAGCAGGAGGGUUACCCUCUGCCUUUUCCCUUGGGACCGGGCGAGCCAGAUUAGUGGAGGGGCAGCUCGGUCCAGAGCGCACGUCGGAGAUCCGUGGAGGUUUGGGGCGGCGGUUUUUGGAGCCCGGAUCUUUGCAGGGCACUGUUGACCCCCAGCGCUGCGGGCAGAGGUGGCUUUGGGCAGGGGCAUCGUGCUCCUUUCUACGCGUCAAAAAAAAGCCGUGCUGAACAGAUCGCUCAGAUCUUGACACCUUCCUGAGAGAUCAGACGGCAUCGCUGGGGUGAGACUCAGUCCUGUCUCCCAGAGCUUGUCGAGAGAGAUGAUGGCAGAAAGCGAUGAGUCAAGAGCAAUCAGAUCAAGAGGGUCAUUUCACAGACACACCAACAUGGCUGGGAGCAUUUUCUGAUCCUUUCCCUCUUCAAACUGCAGGAUGAGUUAUCUUUGCUGAGUGUGUUCAAACUAACCUUGGAAAAGGGCUGUGAAAGGGCCUGGAAAUGGUGUUUUAGCUUCUGCAGGGGAUGAGAGACAUACAGACAAAGCAUCACUGCAGCCACAACCUCUUGUCACAGCCCCACAGCACAGCACCAUGCAAAUACUCAUCUUUGUGAGACCUACCUGGCUGGCCAAGGACUCAGCUUUUCCCUGCCAUCCCUGAUUCCCACUGCCCAAUAUUCCUCAGCCACACUCAGGACAUGGAUCUGGCAUGCUGUAUCUAUGAAAACUGUGUUUAUUUUAUGUAUUUGCCUGUGUGCUGUUUGUCUACUAAAUUAGGAAUAAGGCUCUUUGAAAUUGCCAAGUUUCACUCUCUGAGCACAUCUUCUGUUUCUGCACUCAUGGCUGCUGUCUGCCAGCUAAGGAUUCCCUGCAAACAAUUCCUUAUUCUCCUGUUGCACUGAUCUAUUGCUUGUGAAGGAUUCCCAGAGCAAACCUUCCUAAUGCUGAUGUUCAGCCAAGGACAAGGGCUAGUUUUAACACUAUGUAACCUAAUUUACAGUGUGUUUCUUUGCCUUCAAAAGGAGCUUUAAGCUCCUUUGCCAGUGUCA